GUCUCUUCGGGGACAUCUGAUAAAAUUGAAAUGAUAUAGAGAACUUUAAUGUAGCCCAUGUGUAAGGAUGACACACACAAAUUUGGAAAAAAGAAAAAUGGUU
rnacentral:snRNA from 1 species